GGGGUUGUAGCUCAGUGGUGGAGCGCUUGCCACGCAGGCAUGAGACACUGGGUUCGAUCCUCAGAACCACA
rnacentral:tRNA from 1 species